rnacentral:rRNA from 1 species
UACAGAGGUCUCAAGCGUUGUUCGGAUUCAUUGGGCGUAAAGGGUGCGUAGGUGGCGGGGUAAGUCAGGUGUGAAAUCUCGGAGCUCAACUCCGAAACUGCACUUGAUACUGCCUUGCUCGAGUACUGGAGAGGAGAUUGGAAUUUACGGUGUAGCAGUGAAAUGCGUAGAUAUCGUAAGGAAGACCAGUGGCGAAGGCGAAUCUCUGGUCAGUUACUGACACUGAGGCACGAAGGCCAGGGGAGCAAACAGG